GGCAACGGGUGAGUAACAUGUAGGUAUCUACCCUAUGGCCUGGAAUAACACGAGGAAACUUGUGCUAAUACUGGAUAAGUCUUUACGGAGAAAGCUUUAUGCACCAUUGGAUGAGCCUGCAUUUGAUUAGUUUGUUGGUGGGGUAAUGGCCUACCAAGACUUUGAUCAAUAGCUGAUUUGAGAGGAUGAUCAGCCACAUUGGGACUGAGACACGGCCCAAACUCCUACGGGAGGCAGCAGUGGGGAAUCUUGCACAAUGGAGGAAACUCUGAUGCAGCGAUGCCGCGUGAGUGAAGAAGGCCUUUGGGUUGUAAAGCUCUUUCGUCGGGGAAGAAAAUGACUGUACCCGAAUAAGAAGGUCCGGCUAACUUCGUGCCAGCAGCCGCGGUAAUACGAAGGGACCUAGCGUAGUUCGGAAUUACUGGGCUUAAAGAGUUC
rnacentral:rRNA from 1 species